AACGAACGCUGGCGGCAUGCCUAACACAUGCAAGUCGAACGAGACCUUCGGGUCUAGUGGCGCACGGGUGCGUAACGCGUGGGAACCUGCCUUUAGGUUCGGAAUAACUCAGAGAAAUUUGAGCUAAUACCGGAUAAUGUCUUCGGACCAAAGAUUUAUCGCCUUUAGAUGGGCCCGCGUAAGAUUAGCUAGUUGGUGGGGUAAAGGCCUACCAAGGCGACGAUCUGUAGCUGGUCUGAGAGGAUGAUCAGCCACACUGGGACUAAGACACGGCCCAGACUCCUACGGGAGGCAGCAGUGGGGAAUAUUGGACAAUGGGCGAAAGCCUGAUCCAGCAAUGCCGCGUGAGUGAUGAAGGCCUUAGGGUUGUAAAGCUCUUUUACCCGAGAUGAUAAUGACAGUAUCGGGAGAAUAAGCUCCGGCUAACUCCGUGCCAGCAGCCGC
rnacentral:rRNA from 1 species